rnacentral:rRNA from 1 species
GGGUUGUGAGGUUAAGCGACUAAGCGUACACGGUGGAUGCCCUGGCAGUCAGAGGCGAUGAAGGGCGUGCUAAUCUGCGAUAAGCGCCGGUAAGGUGAUAUGAACCGUUAUAACCGGCGAUACCCGAAUGGGGAAACCCAGUGUGACUCGUCACACUAUCAUUAACUGAAUCCAUAGGUUAAUGAGGCGAACCGGGGGAACUGAAACAUCUAAGUACCCCGAGGAAAAGAAAUCAACCGAGAUUCCCCCAGUAGCGGCGAGCGAACGGGGAGGAGCCCAGAGCCUGAAUCAGCAUGUGUGUUAGUGGAAGCGUCUGGAAAGGCGCGCGAUACAGGGUGACAGCCCCGUACACAAAAGCGCAUGUGCUGUGAGCUCGAUGAGUAGGGCGGGACACGUGGUAUCCUGUCUGAAUAUGGGGGGACCAUCCUCCAAGGCUAAAUACUCCUGACUGACCGAUAGUGAACCAGUACCGUGAGGGAAAGGCGAAAAGAACCCCGGCGAGGGGAGUGAAAAAGAACCUGAAACCGUGUACGUACAAGCAGUGGGAGCACCCUUUGGGUGUGACUGCGUACCUUUUGUAUAAUGGGUCAGCGACUUAUAUUCUGUAGCAAGGUUAACCGAAUAGGGGAGCCGGAGGGAAACCGAGUC